rnacentral:rRNA from 1 species
AGGGGUGAAAGGCCAAUCAAACUUCGUGAUAGCUGGUUCUCCCCGAAAUGCAUUUAGGUGCAGCGUCGUCUGUUUCUUGCCGGAGGUAGAGCACUGGAUGGUCUAGGGGGCCCACAAGCUUACCGAAAUCAGCCAAACUCCGAAUGCCGGUAAGUGAGAGGACGGCAGUGAGACUGUGGGGGAUAAGCUUCAUAGUCGAGAGGGAAACAGCCCAGAUCAUCAGCUAAG